CUUGCUUCAAAACUACAGGCUUUAGCCCUCCGUUUGCUGGUUGCCAAAGACGAGAGCUUCGCCUUUGGAAGCGCCAGUAGCGUAGGGCGACCGGGCCAGCCGAGCGUUUCCUUUCUAUAUGAUAAGUCUACUCGCGCCUCAAGGGCCGGUCAUUUACGCUCUCCACUACAUGAACAACAUUCCCAACUAGAUGUGUAUGGCUUCCAUUGUCUCCUUUUCGAUUCCCGACUCUAGCUCACAGGUAUCCAUAAGAGCGACCAGCCCUGAAUGCUUAAACCUAUCAAUCCUCUCCUAAAUUUCUUUCUUUUUGUCGUUGGGCAAGGAGCA
rnacentral:lncRNA from 1 species